rnacentral:tRNA from 1 species
GGAUCGUUAAUUCAGUUGGUAGAAUGCACGUCUCAUAAACGUGAAGUCGCCAGUUCGAGUCUGGCACGAUCCA